rnacentral:rRNA from 1 species
UUGGAGGGCAAGUCUGGUGCCAGCGGCCGCGGUAAUUCCAGCUCCAAUAGCGUAUAUUAAAGUUGUUGCAGUUAAAAAGCUCGUAGUUGAAUUUCGGGAUUGACGUGAUGGUCAUGCCUUAAGGGGUAUGAACUGUCACUGUUGAUUUCUCACCUUCUGGAGAAACUUGAUGUCCUUUAUUUGGGUGUCUUGCGGAUCCAGGACCUUUACCUUGAAAAAAUUAGGGUGUUUAGAGCAGGCAUUUUUGCUCGAAUACAUUAGCAUGGAAUAAUAGAAUAGGACGGCAUGGUUCUAUUUUGUUGGUUUCUAGGAUCACCGUAAUGAUUAAUAGGGAUAGUUGGGGGCAUUAGUAUUCAAUUGUCAGAGGUGAAAUUCUUGGAUUUAUUGAAGACUAACUACUGCGAAAGCAUUUGCCAAGGAUGUUUUCAUUAAUCAAGAACGAAAGUUAGGGGAUCGAAGAUGGUCAGAUACCGUCGUAGUCUUAACCAUAAACUAUGCCGACUAGGAAUCAGACGAUGUUAAUUUUUUAAUGACUCGUUUGGCACCUUACGGGAAACCAAAGUGUUUGGGUUC